rnacentral:rRNA from 1 species
GAUGAACGCGGCGGCGUGCUUAACACAUGCAAGUCGAACGAUGAAGCCCAGCUUGCUGGGUGGAUUAGUGGCGAACGGGUGAGUAACACGUGAGUAACCUGCCCUUGACUCUGGGAUAAGCCCGGGAAACUGGGUCUAAUACCGGAUAGGAGCGCCUGUCGCAUGACGGGUGUUGGAAAGAUUUUUCGGUCAUGGAUGGACUCGCGGCCUAUCAGCUUGUUGGUGAGGUAAUGGCUCACCAAGGCGACGACGGGUAGCCGGCCUGAGAGGGUGACCGGCCACACUGGGAUUGAGACACGGCCCAGACUCCUACGGGAGGCAGCAGUGGGGAAUAUUGCACAAUGGGCGGAAGCCUGAUGCAGCGACGCCGCGUGAGGGAUGACGGCCUUCGGGUUGUAAACCUCUUUCAGUAGGGAAGAAGCGAAAG